ensembl:lncRNA
UUUAGAGAAAGUGGGCGGUGCCUUUGCAGACUUUGAAAUGCCCAUUGGCUCCUGGGGAUUGGUAGACUGCUGCCCACUGUUCACCUGCCCAACGGCUGCCCGCGGACGCUUUCCUAUCACUGCUGUCAUGUGUGGAAGCACAAGCACUGUGGAAGGAAGGCUUUAGAGGAAAACACAGAAUGGUCUCCUAGAUGCCAAAGACACACAUUUGCCGCGGGGCUGAUAUCAGACGUGCCAUUUGAGAGAACGGGGUGUUCUGAGUCUCUUCUUCUUCCUGCCUCAGAUGAAGAAGCAGCGUCAUCUCGGAGGAUGCGAAACGACGCCCUUUCCCUGUUUUCCAGGAAUAUGGGGCCUUCCAGGGAAUUAAGAAGGAUCCAAUCAGAGAGGGUUUGGUGGUUUUCAAAUAAGAGGCGGUGCCGACAGACCCUUGGCACGUAGGCCGUUCCUGGACGGGAGAGGAAAGGCCGCGGGGCGCUGCAGCCCUGGACAUUCUCCUGCACCCCCGGACGCUGUGGCCGCUGCCACUACUAAGCAGAGGGACUCCGGGAGGGUGGCGAUGCACCCGGUGGGGUCUCCUCUCCCACGACCUGGGCAGGUCGGUCCUAGGAUGAAGCGCUGACUUUGAACAAAGACAUCUGGCGUCUGUAGAGACCACGCGAGAGGGAAGAACCACACCCCUUUGGAAGCGUGUGAGCCCUGGGGUUGGCGUUGAGACCUUCCAGUGGGGGUCCCCGGGGAGAGCUAAUGAGUCACAUGGGUGUUAUUGCCAAUCUUCUUAAAGGGGAGCUCAGAGCUGGGCUCUGAGACUAGCCCGGCUGUUAGAAUCCCGUAUCCCUGUUAUCAGAAUAACAUGUAAUAAUAUCACAUGCUGCGGCCCUGCUGGCUGUGGUCGUGGAUGUGGGUUCAGCUCUCCAGGUUCCCCAGAGUGUGGACUGUUGCUCUGAACACCCCAUGCAGCUGAAAGCCGGCCUCUGUACACCGGCACCGAUUCAGUCUCGGAGACAGAGUUUGGGGUGAAGCAGAAAGAACGGCUUUAGUGCUUUGCCAGGCAAAGGAGGCCACAACAGACUAACGCCUCAAACCUGUGUCCUCCCUUGAGAGGGGACAGCAAGGGAUCUUAGAGGUUUCGCUUGAAAACCAGGGCUGUGGAUAAGGGUCAGGGAGCCUGCAUUCUUCUCCCUCCAGAGAUGAUUUCAAAGUUGUCAAGGCUGCAGUCGGAUGGUCCGGUGACAGUUUCUGGCGUCGUUGGGGUUAUGGCAUCUUGACCUUCUCUCUGCAGCGAAGACUGCUUAUGAAAGGAAGGGGGCGUUAGGGAAUAUUUCAAAGGAGAAAAACUACCAGAUUGCAAAGAAAAGAAGAAAUCAUCUGUGAAAGGGGAAUCGAGCAAGGAAGUAAAAUCGUUUAGGCGAAGCGGGUUGGUGUGAGUAAAGCUGAGCCCCGCAAAGGGGAGCGGCUUUAUAGCUGUAACUACAUUUCCUAAUCAUUAAGGCUUUUUUUUUUUUUUUUUUUUUUUUUUUUUGGCCGUUUAAGGUUUUUUUUUUUUUUUUUUUUUUUUUUUUUGGCUGCCCUGCAGCAUAUGGAGCUUCCAGGCCAGGGAUCAGAUCCCAGCAGCAUUUGCCAUCCAAGCCGCAGCUGGGGCAACUCCAGAUCCUUAACCCAUCGUGCCGGGCCAGGGAUCAAACCCGCAUCCCAGCGCUCCCAAGACGCUGCCAAUGCUGUUGCGCCAUAGCGGGAGCUCCCUAAUCCUAAACUCUUGAGUCAGCCUUUUGAGAUUGAGGAGGGCCUGGGAGGCUAUGGGAAAAGCCUUUAAUUUCCAAAUGCAACACCAUAAAGGCUUGUACAGGGUUUCACCACACUGACCAGGAGUCUGUUGAUGAAGGUAAAUAAAACUGGCUUCCAAAUACACUGCGUGUCGGGAUUGGGAGACUGGAUGGGGGCAGAAUCCUAGGGGGAUGGGCAGAUCCUUCCAAAACUUGGGAGGGUAGGUAGAACCAAGCCAAGCCAAAGCCCUGGACUGACAGCUAUGGAAGCUGGAUUGGACUCAGCAGCUAAGCAGUGGGCUCCCAUGGGGUGGGGCCACAAAGCACAGAAACAUCAGCUGGAUGAGGAAGGAAGCAGCGGGGGCAUUUGCUGCUCACCUUACAGACAGCUGAGUGGAUGGUACCGGGACGUGUAGGCUGGAGACUGAGAUGCACGGGGACUGGAUCCUGCGUGUACAUGUUCUCUGUGCAAAGCCAACUGGGAUCUGGAGCCAACAAUCUGUACCACAUGACGAGAUCAUUUUUGGGAUGUUUUAAUUUUUUAAAUUUAACAGUGUAGCUCCUAAAUCAACAUAAUUACAGUCCCCAAAUACUUCUUUCCUUCCAAGGAAAUAUUACAUGAAGGCCGCCCUCUAACCCAAAUCAUUAAAUUGCAAAAUAUGUGAAAAGCAGAAUUUGUUUUGAAACUCCAACCACAAAUUAAAAUUAUAAGGAAAGAAGUGUUAGAGAAAUGUUUGACAUUGACACUCAUGUCAGCAGUGAGGGAGCCAAAUAAAAAUUUAACUCGUCAGUGGCUGCCGUAGAGAUCCCUUAGGCUUCCUUAUGUCCCGAGCUCCACCCCUUGCUGGGUGCAGGAAGACCUCCUCUCAGCUCCUGUGCACCUAGGGGUGCCUGCUGCUGCUUCUGACCCACAGGCUGGGAGCAGAAUGAUCACUUCUGGCCUGUGGCAGUCAAGAGAUCUUGCUUUCUAGGGCCUCCCCAGGGAAUUCCCGUGCUAAGGUGACAGAGCCACACUCAACCUGCUUGGACUGAAGGGCCACUACUUGGAAGGUGGCUGCCUGGGCCUGCAGGACACUUUUAUGUAAGUGAUUAGUGAAGUUUUGUUCUAUUAAGCCACAGAGAUAUCGGGCCUAUUUGUUACCAAGUACAACCUAGCCUAUGCUGACUAAUCCAGUGUUGGUUGAAAAGUCCGGGGGUGCAUGGAAGCAUCUUCACAGCAAAUUAACCGACACCCCUUUGGUUGGCAUGCCUUCUUUUUGGUCUCCUUUUUAUUGAAUAACCUUCUUACGUAGUGAGACACCGAGAACACUUUGACUUUUCCUUCCAUCACUCCCAUGCUUCCCAAACCCGCUCCAACAUGCACCCUUUCUUUAGUUGCUCAUCUCACUUACCAGCCUUUGAAUAUCAUCUCCUUAGAUUUUCUCCUGUACCUCUGCUCUUGCUGAACCUUGGAAUUGGUCAGUGCAUGCUACCCUAUUAUUAUUAUUUUUAUUUUUAAGGCUGCACCCACAGCAUAUGGAAAUUCCUAGGCUAGGGGUCAAAUCAGAGCUGCAGCUGCCAGCCUACACCACAGCCACGGCAAUGCCAGACCCAACCUGUGUCUGCAACCUAUGCCACAGAUCCUGGCAACACUGGAUCCUUAACCCACUGAGCGAGACCAGGGAUUGAACCUGAGCCCUCAUGGAUACUAGUUGGGUUUGUUACCCCUGAGCCACAGUGGGAACUCCCACACUACAUUCAUUACUGAAAGAAGAGUCCACCUCCAAUGCCAAGUUCACACACCUGCUCUGAGGGAUGGAGGGCUGACUCUCCCUACUUUCUGAGCGAUGGCAUUCCACUUGGUCUGGGGUUGGUCACACUCUACCUUAGUUGGCUAGUGGCACCUCGCUUUUCCACUCUGUUGUGAGUUCUGCAGAUGAAAUAACAAUGCAGGGCUGUGUAGACUUGUGCCUGGCCCGUGAGAUAUUUACAGACUGUCAAGGUUAAAAAUGUUCUCUUCUUCUUUGUAGAAAUAUGCUAAUCACAAUUACAGUUAUCAUUAGAUGGACACCCUUCCUGCCCUCCAAGAUUCAAGUCAGUACCGGGAAUUGCAUCAAUUAAAACAGUAUUUAAUUGUGAGACCUUCAGCAAGUUCGCUUUUAUGGACAUGGCUGUAGUCCACAAAAUGGGGUAAAUAGAGCAAAUAAAGCCGUCACUGUCAAGGUCAAUGCUGUCCUCCUCUGAACACGGGGCCUGGCAAAGUGUAUGGGUAGUUAUACUAAACCAGGUUUGCCUGCUAAGCACUGCGCCCCCUUUUUCAUGGGAGGAGUAUGAAGGGCAGCGGCUUGAAUUUCACCUUGGAGACAGAUCCGUGUGUUGUUUUGUGGAAGGUCAAGUGGGUUGAGACCCUGCGCCCUGCCGUGGUACACUUGGUAGCUGCAGGUGGACUCACCACCUGAUUAGGUUUCUUUUUCUUUUUUUUUGUUUUCUGGGGGCCGCACCUGAG